UUUCUUUCCUCGUUUGUUUCCAGCAAGUGCUUGGAGCUGCAAAGAACCCUCUGCCCAGGAUGGGCAACCAGGUGCUCUGCUGGGUGGCCCUUUGUCUCCUGGGAGCAAGCACUAUGGAUGGCGGAAUCACUCAGAGGCCAAAAUACCUGAUCAGAGAAGAAAGACGAGAUGUGACCCUGGAAUGUGAACAGAGUUUGGAUUAUGAUUACAUGUGCUGGUACCGACAGGACCCGGGACAAGGGCUGAGACUGAUCUACUACUCGCAGGUUCUAAAGGCUGUCGAGAAAGGAGAUGUAUCUGAAGGCUACAGGGCCUCCCGGGAGGAGAAGGCAUUCUUUCCUCUCACUGUGACAUCAACUCGAAAAAACCAGACAGCCCUGUAUCUCUGUGCCAGUAGUAGAGACACAGUGAAGCACUGCCACCUCCUCUUUGUGCAUAAAUGUGUCCCAAGCCCCACUUCCCACCAGGUGGCAGGGCUUUUCUGGACUCAGUACCUUUCUCUGCUGGCUUUCUUCCACCUCAACCAGGCCCCCAAAGCAGCUGCUUCCAUCAACAUGCUUUGUGGAAUGGCAGGGUUGUUCAGUGAUCCUCUAAGUUGGUUUUAA